rnacentral:rRNA from 1 species
ACUCAAAUGAAUUGACGGGGACUCGCACAAGCGGUGGAUUAUGCGGUUUAAUUCGUAGGUAAACGAAGAACCUUACCAAGGUUAGAAAUCCAGCUGAAAGCUCUAGGAAACUAGAGCCCUCGCAAGACUGCUGGACAGGUGAUGCAUGGCCGUCGUCAGCUCGUGGUUUGAACUGUUCCCUUAAGUGGGCUAACGAGCGCAACCCUCGUUGUCUGUUACAAGUGUCAGGCAAGACUGCCCAGCCCUUUGUUCAUAAGUUAAUUGUGAAUAAUGGGCUGGGAGGAAGGAGAGGAUGACGCCAGGUCAGCAUGUCCCUUUGAUAUCUUGGGCCACACGCAUAAUACAAUGGUCGUUACAGUGGGAUGCAAAGCAGCGAUGCCGAGCCAACCCCCAAAGACGGCCCUAGUUCGGAUAACAGUCUGCAACUCGACUGUUUGAAGCUGGAAUCGCUAGUAAUCGCAGGUCAGCCAAACUGCGGUGAAUACGUUCUCGAGUCUUGUACACACCGCCCGU